AAACACGUCAUUAAUACACAGGUCACUAGAGUACUAAAUGCAGUUGCAAGUUCCGAAUGCAGUCAGUAGGGUACUAAAUGCAGUUGCAAGUUCUGAAUGCAGUCAGUAGGGUACUAAAUGCAGUUGCAAGUUCUGAAUGCAGUCAGUAGGGUACUAAAUGCAGUUGCAAGUUCUGAAUGCAGUCAGUAGGGUACUAAAUGCAGUUGCAAGUUCUGAAUGCAGUCAGUAGGGUACUAAAUGCAGUUGCAAGUUCUGAAUGCAGUCUGUAGGGUACUAAAUGCGGUUGCAAGUUCUGAAUGCAGUCAGUAGGGUACUAAAUGCGGUUGCAAGUUCUGAAUGCAGUCAGUAGGGUACUAAAUGCAGUUGCAAGUUCUGAAUGCAGUCAGUAGGGUACUAAAUGCAGUUGCAAGUUCUGAAUGCAGUCUGUAGGGUACUAAAUGCGGUUGCAAGUUCUGAAUGCAGUCAGUAGGGUACUAAAUGCGGUUGCAAGUUCUGAAUGCAGUCAGUAGGGUACUAAAUGUGGUUGCAAGUACUAAAUGCAGUCAGUAGGGUACUAAAUGCGGUUGCAAGUUCUGAAUGCAGUCAGUAGUGUACUAAAUGCGGUUGCAAGUUCUGAAUGCAGUCAGUAGGGUACUAAAUGCGGCUGCAAGUACUAAAUGCCCUCCGUAGGGUACUAAAUGCAGUUGCAAGUUCUGAAUGCAGUCAGUAAGGUACUGAAUGUGGCCAGUAGUUUACUGAAUGUGAUCGCAAGUACUGAAUGCGGUCAGUAGGGUACUGAAUGCGGCCAGUAAGGUACUGAAUGUGGCCAGAAGAGUACUAAAUGUGAUCGCAAGUACUGAAUGCGGUCAGUAGGGUACUGAAUGCGGCCAGUAAGGUACUGAAUGUGGCCAGAAGAGUACUAAAUGUGAUCGCAAGUACUGAAUGCGGUCAGUAGGGUACUGAAUGUGGCCAGAAGAGUACUAAAUGUGAUCGCAAGUACUGAAUGCGGUCAGUAGGGUACUGAAUGCGGCCAGAAGAGUACUAAAUGUGAUCGCAAGUACUGAAUGCGGUCAGUAAGGUACUGAAUGUGGCCAGAAGAGUACUAAAUGUGGUCGCAAGUACUGAAUACGGUCAGUAGGGAACUAAAUGUGGUCGCAAGUACUGAACGCGGUCAGUAGGGUACUAAAUGUGGUCGCAAGUACUGAACAUGGUCAGUAGAGUACUGAAUGUUGUCUGUGGAGUAUUAUUGCGGACAGUACGGCAUUGAAUGCGGUUGCAAGUACUGAAUGUGGUCAGUAGAGUACUGAAUGUUGUUGGUGAGGUUUUAAUACGGUCAGUAAGGUACUAAAUGUGGUUGUAAGUACUGAAUGCAUCCAAGCGCUGAAUGUUGUCAGUAAGGCACUGAAAGCGGUCGCAUGGGUACUGUGGUUAAUUAGUCAGUGUCAGUGGGCUAUUAAAUGUGGUCGUAAGCACAAAAUAAUGCAGUCAGUGGGGUAGAGAACAUGAUCAGUAUGGUUCUGU